UUAUUUCUGAUUUUAUUUAAUUAUUGAUUCUACAUUGUCUAGAAGUUAUAUAUAUUGAUUGCCUUAUCAUUGUCACUUUACCAUUGCAAUGAACAAAAAAAAAACACUUUAAUUUUAGAUACUUUAGAAAUAAAAAUAAUCAUGGAUUACAAUGAUUGCUUAAACCAUUUUUAUUUUGCAAUUAAGUAUGCCUCAAACUUCACUAAACAGGUCAUGAGCAGCAUAAUUUUUCCCUAUUCAUCUAAAGCAGCAUAUUACCAUAUCAAUUUAUGUAGUAAAUAUUUGUUAUGUCUUCAAAUCAUAGCAUGUUUGAUACUAUAGGCACCAUUUUAUAAAUAGUUUUUACAAAGCUCGUCUCCACUGUUUCGCAAAAAGUUUGUACACAUUAUUUCUCCCACGCCUAAGCUCUCUGAUUAAACUAAA